rnacentral:rRNA from 1 species
CAGCACCACGGUAAUACGGAGGGUGCAAGCGUUAUCCGGAUUUAUUUGGUUUAAAGGGUCCGUAGGCGGAUCUGUAAGUCAGUGGUGAAAUCUCACAGCUUAACUGUGAAACUGCCAUUGAUACUGCAGGUCUUGAGUAAAUUUGAAGUGGCUGGAAUAAGUAGUGUAGCGGUGAAAUGCAUAGAUAUUACUUAGAACACCAAUUGCGAAGGCAGGUCACUAAGAUUUAACUGACGCUGAUGGACGAAAGCGUGGGGAGCGAACAGGAUUAGAUACCCCCGUAGUCCCUGUCUCUUAUACA